rnacentral:lncRNA from 1 species
CUGUGCCCUUCUCUACGAGAGUCACAGCACUCAUUAGCAUUGUAAAAGCUCUGCUAAGUCCUGCAGUAAAUAACCUAUUUAGCCCUGGUUUCCCAAACUGCUUUGAUCAAGGGAUCCUUCUCAUGGAUAUCUACGAGCAUCCCACAGAACCAUCUUUGAGAAAAUGUUUCUUGGCCCAGCUAAGACUCUUGGCUGCAGGACUCCUGGUUUCUCUAUCUGGAAAGGCCAGCAUCUGCCACAGAGCACUCGGCCCAUGGAAGCCGAAGGAGGGGGAACCAAGAGCAGGAGAAGGGGCGUGCUGGGGCACUCUAUCUCAGGCUGACGGAGACCCACUAACCAUUGUCAAGGCCACUGGGGCAGGUCCAGCCCAACUGCUCGAACUGGAGGCAGGGGAUGAAGGUUCGGAGAAGGUGACAGCAGGACAAGGUGGACAUCCCCAGCAGCCCCCUGAAGAAUCCAGACACUUCUAUGGCUCCUGAGCCUGGCAUCACCUUCGGACUUUGGCUUUCUGGUCUUCCUCGACUCAUGCCCUCAUUGUUGACCCUGUUAUCUGCUUCUAGAGCUUCUAGAACAGAGACAGAGCUCACACUUACCCAAGCAGAGCCAUGACCAGCCCAGCCAGCUCAGACGUAUGUCCCCUCCCUCCCAGUCAAAACACAGCCUAAUACGGAUCCUAACCUGGAAGGUCAGCAUCCAGCCCCUCCUCUUCUUCCAGCCGCAGGAUAUCUCCCUCGGCAAGGGGUGGCAAAGAGAGAAAGCAUGGGCCUCAGGUCCCAGAG